GGAGGCCACGCCCCUGGGGCGGGGCUGCGGGCUCGGCCUCGCGGCUCCAGGCGCCCCGCACUGCCCGUGGAACCACGGGGAAAGCAGCCCGGCCCAUCCCCCACGCUGGCGGCUUGUUUUCCUUCCACAGGCGGAAGGAAGGGAGGGAGAGAGCACUCGCACCCGGGACUGACCUUUGCUCUGUAAACUGUUAAAGCCUGAGCUUGGUAGGCUGGGGCCAGAUGUUAGAGACCCACAGGAUUAAAGAAUGUAAGCUUCAGGAAAAGAAACCUUGUUGUCUAGUGGAUAGUCAGCUCCUAGACCAGGACUGAAGCAUAAGAGACCAAGAAUAAUUGGCUUUUCCGCUUCUUGCUUCCUCUGCCUCCAGUGACAUUCUACUAGAUAUUUUGAUGGCUACCUUGUCAUCAGCUUCGAGGAUUUACAUAAAAUUCGCCUUUUUGUUAUGGAGUACCUACCAUAGAUUCAGGAGUGAUAACAGGUAAUUUGGAGAGGACUGCUGUGUAUUCACGGAGCUCUUUGGAGAAAGAAGACAAUCUUUGUGCAGGAGAGCUGAGAUUUCCGGAGAAUCAUACUAAUUAGUGAAACUGAAGGACAAAUUGGAGAAUGUAUUUCUAAAAUAUUUUGGUAUGUAUUGAUGUCUAUGCACUUAACAGUGCCUUUGCUUAGAACACUUCAUCAAGCCUUGGUUUCAUUUUUGUCUUUCAGGAUCUCAGUAAUUGCCCCAUUUCACCUUGUCUAGAUUGGCCUCCAUCAAUUAAUCUCUAUCUCCUCAAUGUGUUAAUUUCCUCUGUGAAAGUUUUCACAAUUUGUGAUUAUUUUUUCUCUCUAUUGAUUUAAUUGUUUAUUGGUCUCUCAUAUCAAGCCUGGAAGCUUCAUGUAGCCAUCAAACUUUGCAUGUUAGCAAUAUAGGUUCAGCAACUUGCAUAGUGGCUAACACACAGUAGGAGUUCAGUAAAUACACAUUGAAUGUAUUAAUGAGUGAAAUCAAACUUAACACUUUUUUUUUUGGCAAAAUUUCUACUAGCUCAAAAUCACCUUAAGUGACAUGUUUUAGUGUGUGCAAAAAUCAGAUAUUCCAAGAAGUCGCUCACAAAUUAUGUGAAGGAAUUAUUUAUUAUUACUUCUAGUAUAAAACUUGUAGAAUUAUGACAAUAUUUAUGCAAUAGCAAUAGGGAAACAUAGAGUAAUAACUGCUGAAAGAAAUGAUAAUUCUUUUCACUUUGCCAUCAUUUACAUUUUUGUCAACUUUAGAAAAGGAGAAAAUGGUGAGAAAAAUCUGUAAAGAGUUUACACACAAAAGAAUAUUUCAACGAAGGAAAAUAUGUCAGCUUACUAUACCAUAUUUUGUUCUUUCAAAAUAUUACAAAAUUGACAUAGGACAUAAUGUUUGAUGUUCUAAGAAAAAUACAAUAUGUUUAGGAAACUGUAUAUGUGAUAUGGAUGCAUCACUAUGAGAACUACAUAAGGAACGGCUAACAUUUCAAAAGCACAGAUUUUCAAAAUGGUAUGUAUAUGUGUCUAAAAUUGCUGGUGUACUAUAAUUAAUUUUUAUUCUAUUUUAAAGGGUCAUUCACUUAUCUUUUACAGACAAUUUUCACAGCUUAUCAUGAAUCCUUAGAGCUGCUAUGGUUAGGCCAAUAUAUUUACAUGAAUAGUAUGUAAAUGCAUUUAAGUAUUUAAGUAUAGUGUUCUUGAUAUAGCCUAAGGUGUCUCAUAUGAAUAUAUCCAACAUUUUGCUUUUUGAGGGAGAUAAAUGUAUUUUUAUGCUUCAUCACACAUACUAUAAAUAUCCUUUAUGCUUGUACUGUAUUCCCACCUUGCUUCACAUCAUUCAUUUAAUUUUUUUAUAUAUGCAGCAUAAUAAAUGCAUGAUGGUAAAUUCAAACUUUCUAAGAGUCUGACCCACGUUAAGUCAAUUUCAUAUCUUUCUCCAUGCUUCACUGAUCUGGUCAGAAUAUGUUCUUCUUUGUAUAUCAACAAGGAUUCUAUUCUGUGAUUGAAGCUAUAAAAUCAGAUGAGAACCUGGGAAAUACCAGAGAAAUAUUGUUCAAUGGUAUUGUAACUGUGAACAAUUUUUUUUUCAAUUUUCUUUCUCCAAAAAAAAAAAAAAAAAAAAGAACCUUCUUUGAAAUUACUUAAAAAUCACAGAAGGCUAAAGCUAGUUCUACCACCUAAUUUUACAGAUGAGGGAAAUGACACACAAGUACUGAUUUAAGGUCACAUUUCAGCUAGUGGCAGAAACAAGGAUAGCACCCAAUUCUACCAGUGCCCAAACCAAUGUUCUCAGGCCUCACUCAUCUUUGCUGGUUGUUUUAGGAAGGCAUAGAAAUGGUGGUGUAGUGGAAAGAAGUGAAUGAGGGCUGUAAUAGAAAGUAGCCCUAGGCUCUCAUACUUGUUAGCUGUGUGACUUUGGCUGUGGGACAAUCCCUGUGAAACUCAGUUAUCUUAUUUAUAAUAUGUCAACAGUAAUAACUGACACAUAAGAUCAUUUUCAGAAAUGAAUGAAAUGAGGUAAUAGAUACUGCAUACAGUGCCUUGCUACAUGGUAGGCAUUCAAAUGCAAAGUACACAUUACUAUUAUGACUAUUUGUCACCAGCAUUAUUUGGAGAAUCAUUAUUAUAAGCGUGAGUGAUCAUACAGCAUUCUACAGUAGGACAUGAUCACUUGGUGGGGAGAGCUCACCUGACAUUGGAAGAAUCCAGCAUGGGUUUGGCAGACUGUGGCUGCACCUUUGGUUUAGAAGUAAUUAGUACUACUCAACCAAGGUAAUCUGGAAAUUGGCUCUCAGACCACAUUUGCAAUUUUAUGUGGAGAGAAAUGAUUCAAUAUUCAGUAAUGGUUAGGUACUUUAAAUGUUCAACCCUGAGGUCUUUGUGUAAAUAGGAUUGUUGUCGAAAUGGAAUAGAAGUUUUGUGUGCAAAAUGACAGUGGGAGCAGCCCGUUAAUCAGAUUUACACAGAAAAGGAGGGGAUGGUGCCCUCAUGUGAAUGCCAAUGAGAAGAUGUGUUGAAUGUGGAAAUCAGUUAUUUUUAAUGUUAAAAUAAAUAUUAGCAGUAAUAACUAGACAUAGAGUUGUCCUUCCUGCCUGUAUGUUUCAUAAUGCAGAAAAGAAUCCAAUGUCUGUUUGUCAUGUUAUGUUUGAACAAUAUUUAUCACUUCAAAAAUUCGCUAAAAUAGCUUGUAAAUUAAAUAAGUUUCAUAAGAUUAUACAGUGAUUGAAUAAAGAAUGGAAAAAUUAGGGAUAAGCUGCAUGUGAGGAAGUAUUUUGGAAUAAUGGCCACUUUUGUAAUAAUAAAGGUGAUGAUAAUAAAAAAUACUUCACAGGUCAAACCAUAUGUGUGUUGAUCUGGAUGUGAUUCAUGACUUUGCAUAAUUUUGUUAUUACUGUCAGCAUGACUUUUACUGGAGAAAAUACUAAUCUAGUAAGAGUGUUAAGUUGCGGUAUCUCUAGAGCUCAGUUUCCCGCAUUUAAAAUAAGAG